rnacentral:misc_RNA from 1 species
GUCCUCCUCCUCAUCAUCCUCCGCUACAGAUUCCUCGUCGUUGCCAUCUUCCCCUUCGGGAUCGUUUUCAUCCAAGGGCCCGAGCAUAUUCGGAGAUUUCUUGAAAAUAUCCUUCAACUCAUCAAUGCCUUCAUCAGAAAUGAAAUUUCCAUUGAUGUUUAGCAGUUGGAAACCAGGCUUUUGAACCACAGUUUGAGCUAAAACCCGAGCACCAGCUCUCCUAAUU